rnacentral:rRNA from 1 species
UACGGGGGGGGCAAGCGUUGUUCGGAAUUACUGGGCGUAAAGGGCUCGUAGGCGGCCAACUAAGUCAGACGUGAAAUCCCUCGGCUUAACCGGGGAACUGCGUCUGAUACUGGAUGGCUCGAGUUUGGGAGAGGGAUGCGGAAUUCCAGGUGUAGCGGUGAAAUGCGUAGAUAUCGUAAGGAAGACCAGUGGCGAAGGCGGGUCUCUGGACAGUUCCUGACGCUGAGGCACGAAGGUCAGGGGAGCAAACGGG